rnacentral:lncRNA from 1 species
GGCAGUGCAGGGUCAGCUCAAAGGAACGCAAAGGAAACCCAUUUCAAAUGGCCGUAAAACUACGCCAAAAACGGUCGCGAGCUCAUUAAAAUUUGAGCACCAAAAACGAUCGCAAUGCGAGCUCAUGUGAUACGUGAAUGGCUUUGAAUAGCAGAUUUUUGCCAAGCAGAAAGAUGCAAGAAAAUUCCAGACUAAUCGUGUAAUUUGCAGCUGCC